ensembl:lncRNA
CUUUCUACCUAUGGUAUUUGCAACAAGAGCAAAGCUGAUAAUUUAAUAGAAUUCUUUGCACGCUGGCUAUAAUGCAAGAAUUAACUGAGUAAGUACAUAUACUGUACUUGGCCAGAAGAGCCUGGCAUAUCCAACAGAUUUUUACUUUGUAAGACACAUUUUGCUGUAUUUGUGCUUUUUUUUCAUCUCCCCCUGAGGAGUAUUAACUCAAAGCAAUCACAAGACACCCAUCCUUGCCUGCUGCUUCCUGGGCUGCUACUUGUAUCUUCAUUCCUUACUGCUUCUCUAGCCAUUUGAAUCAUCUUUUUAAACUGCCUUCUGCUCCUAAAAUGAUCACUCUGUCAUCUGGGAAAGGCUAAACAUGUAAAAGCAUUUUCAUUUCUGUAGCAUUCACUUUCAUUUACUCUCUUCUUUCUAUUCAAGUCAAGCAGCACAGAGUGCUGUAUAAAUAGCAAAGUCUGUACCACAUCCAGUUUUGAAGUAUUUUUAAAAUACAGUAUUGAAAAAAGAAGAGACAAACUGCAAGGCAAAUGCUAAGCUGCUCCUGAGCCUGAUGACGAUGUAGGUAUUUUGUCUUGGUUACCUGAGCAAUCUCCAGAAGCUUGAAUGGAUUACAAUAAUAUUCUAACAAGGCUGCAGGCAUCCUCAACAGCUUUCAUCUACAGAAGAAGAUAAGAGAUGGAAGAAUGUAAUUAUUUCCAUGUAAGCUAAAUUCCAGUAGCUGACUGCCAUGAUAGGGAAAGCCCUGAAAACUUUGCUGUCUUAAAUGUUUUCAUCUCAUAUAAAACAAAUAGGUCAGCUCUUCUCUUUAAAUAUUGUCACUGAAGCUCUUCUAAAGGUUAGCCUGAGGAGAAGGAUAAAGAAACUGGCUACCAAGAUGGUAAUCACUAGUGGAAAUGAAGAAGAUAAAGGCAAUCAAGAAAAGGAGAGCAAAGAAGAAACCAUCCUGGCAAUGCUUGGGAUUAUUGGAACAAUUCUGAACCUCAUUGUGAUCAUUUUUGUGUACAUUUACACAACAUUGUGAGCCAGAAGGCACACGACAAGAACCGACGAAACGGCUGCUAAAGGUGACAACAAACAUUGUAGGGUAUUGACAUGUUGCUUAAUCAGCAUUGAUUCUGUACUAUAUUACCACAUCAUAAAAACACUGCCUGCAGGCAGCAAAAGCUGAAGCACAAUUAAUUUAACAAGACUUUUUCAUGCGGUAACAAGCUCCUUUCCCUUUUUAUUUGGGUUUGGUUUGGGGGGAAAUGACUGCAAUUAUGUAAGUAGCAGCUUUGAAGAACUCAAUCUGGGAUACAAACACAAUAGAGACUGUACACUAUUUAGAAUUACUAAUGUAUACCAUAUACUCUGAAAGAUAGCUAGAUAGCACCGAUUUUGUGUCCAUUAGGUCAAAUAAUUUUUUUUCUCCUUGACUUUUCAAUUUUAUUUACAUUGAAACUGACAGGCUUUUUAUUUAGAAUGAACAUAUGGUGCAAUCAUGGAAAAACAAUUCCGUUGAGCAAGAUCUGCCUAAAAACAAUGAAAUAUUGGGGGAAAUAAGUGACAUGAUUAUUUUUUCUUUCUCAUUUGCUUGACAUUUGUGUCUGUUCAAACCAAUGUUUAUAAAUAUAUAUUUUUAAUAAAUGUGCUAUAUUUUUAGCA